ensembl:lncRNA
GGGAGAUUUAGGUCAGGGAGGACAGUUUGUGAAUGAUGUCUGAGUGUCGGAGCGUGCCCCUAGCCAGGGCCGUAACCUGGGAGAUUUAGGUCAGGGAGGACAGUUUGUGAAUGAUGUCUGAGUGUCGGAGCGUGCCCCUAGCCAGGGCCGUAACCUGGGAGAUUUAGGUCAGGGAGGACAGUUUGUGAAAGUGGAACUCAUUUAUUACAUUUACAUACAAUUAAAAAAUGUUAAAACGCUGUUUGGAGAACAGCAACAACAAGCGAAAAUGCCCCCAGCCAUUAUCACCUCGGCUGCUGUAGAUUCAUUCACCUCAGGAGAUCUACAAACACGUUUGUAUUUCAUUUUUAGAACUGUAUUGUUUGCUUUCUGAUUAUAUUUUAAUAGGAUCUGUGGAGAUGUUCCUAUUGAAACAUACAGGGGUUGUAGUUUAAUGUCGGCCCGUGGGGAAGAUAGGUCCUGUGGAGAUGUUCCUAUUGAAACAUACAGUGGUUGUAUUUUAAUGUCUGCCCGUGGGGAAGAUAGGUCCUGUGGAGAUGUUCCUAUUGAAACAUACAGUGGUUGUAUUUUAAUGUCGGCCCGUGGGGAAGAUGGGUCCUGUGGAGAUGUUCCUAUUGAAACAUACAGGGGUUGUAGUUUAAUGUCGGCCCGUGGGGAAGAUGGGUCCUGUGGAGAUGUUCCUAUUGAAACAUACAGUGGUUGUAUUUUAAUGUUGGCCCGUGGGGAAGAUGGGUCCUGUGGAGAUGUUCCUAUUGAAACAUACAGUGGUUGUAUUUUAAUGUAGACCUAUAGGGAAGAUAGGUCCUGUGGAGAUGUUCAUAUUGAUACAGUGGUUGUAUUUUAAUGUAGACCUAUAGGGAAGAUACAGUAUAUCACAAAAGUGAGUACACCCCUCACAUUUUUGUAAAUAUUUGAGUAUAUAUUUUCAUGUGACAACACUGAAGAAAUGACACUUUGCUACAAUGUAAAGUAGUGAGUGUACAGCUUGUAUAACAGUGUACAUUUGCUGUCCCCUCAAAAUAACUCCACACACAGCCAUUAAUGUCUAAACCGCUGGCAACAAAAGUGAGUACACCCCUAAGUGAAAAUGUCCAAAUUGGGCCCAAAGUGUCAAUAUUUUGUGGCCACCAUAAUUUUCCAGCACUGCCUUAUGGAGUUCACCAGAGCUUCACAGGUUGCCACUGGAGUCCUCCUCCAUGACGACAUCACGGAGCUGGUGGAUGUUAGAGACCUUGCACUCCUCCACCUUCCGUUUGAGGAUGCCCCACAGAUGCUCAAUAGGGUUUAGGUCUGGAGACAUGCUUGGCCAGUCCAUCACCUUUACCCUCAGCUUCUUUAGCAAGGCAGUGGUCGUCUUGGAGAGGUGUGUUUGGGGUCGUUAUCAUGUUGAAAUACUGCCCUGCAGCCCAGUCUCUGAAGGGAGGGGAUCAUGCUCUGCUUCAGUAUUUCAUUUUCUAUGAAGGUAUCUUUACUUUCACUGAAGUAUGACAAUUGGGUACUUUUUCCACCACUCUACACACACACACACACACACACACACACGGCUAUAUUUGCUCACUCAUCACCUCUCUACACUGGGCCGUUUUGUGUUGAAACUGUUGGGCCUUUUUCCAUGGUGUAAACAACAUAUCCAAAUCUCGUUUCCUCCCCGUUGUCUAGUACGUUGGGUUACAAAUGUUUAUCAUGAAAAUAUGUACAGUACCACGAUGUAGCUAGCGGACUUAAUGGAUCAGGAAAUGUAAUGUGAAUGUUACCCAGAACAAUGAGGCCAUUAUAAAUGAUAUACAUUAUAUACAUUAAAAGGACAGACAUGUGCAGGUUUGAAAAGGGGCAAAACAAAUCCCUCCACUCCCACAUCUCCGCAUGUUGUGUUACAUUAUAGAGGUCAACCUCUAAUACACUAUAUAAUGUGACUUUCCAAAUGGCCCCCUAUUCCGCCCUAUAGGCCCUGGUCAUAAGUAGCACACUAUAAAGGGAAUAGAGUGAAAUUUGGGACUAAACAGGGAAUAGGGUGCUAUUUGAGACUAAAUAGACAAUAAGGUGCUAUUUGGGACUAAAUAGACAAUAGGGUGCUAUUUGAGACUAAAUAGACAAUAGGGUGCUAUUUGGGACUAAAUAGACAAUAGGGUGCUAUUUGGGACUAAAUAGACAAUAGGGUGCUAUUUGGGACUAAAUAGACAAUAGGGUGCUAUUUGGGACUAAAUAGGGAAUAGGGUGCAAUUUGGGACUAAAUAGGGACUAGGGUGCAAUUUGGGACUAAAUAGACAAUAGGGUGCUAUUUGAGACUAAAUAGACAAUAGGGUGCUAUUUGAGACUAAAUAGACAAUAGGGUGCUAUUUGGGACUAAAUAGACAAUAGGGUGCUAUUUGGGACUAAAUAGACAAUAGGGUGCUAUUUGGGACUAAAUAG